GCUUUUAGCUUAUUUAGCUAUUGUUGGAAGCUGCCGAGCUUUUUCGGCAACUCUGACUCCACAUUUACGACAAUUAUUCUCCGUUUUAGUUUUUGAUAUAUUUGUUUAUUAUUUUACGAAUUUAUACAAUUGAUAGGGGGCGUGGCCGUGAACUACGAUUCGGUGCGUUAAACUUCACAUUAAUUUAGAGCUCGAUUAAAAUAACGGGUUCGCAUUGGACAUAGAAAAUAAUUGGACUGCUCGGAGAUGAGCGGCGAUCGACAAUAUUUUU